rnacentral:lncRNA from 1 species
UGAGUGUUUGCUUGUGUGUGUUUGGGUUGCGUGUGUGUUAUCCUAUUUUAUUUUUUACGGCAGGAGACCUUUUAUGUUAGCCUGUACACAAUUUCAGGGUAGCCUAAAACAGUAGUUGACGCGCUAGUUAUUUAGAAAGUAAAGAAAUGAGCAGUCCCCUUUGGAGACAGGAGUAAUUUAUUUUAAUUCGCCAGUAAGAGAUUAUAUUUGUUCCAUACAAUGGAAGCGCCUGUGCGUUAUCUGCCUGCCCACACCACCACCAAUCAGAGAGAUAAAUCUCCACGUUAAGCUUUAUUAAAAUUCUGAGUAGUAGCGCAGCACAGUAAAUGUUAGCACCGACCAUCCGCAG